GUACUAUGUUCCUCACAUGGUAUAACUAUGAAGAAGUGCUUGAUGAAUCUGUACAUGACGGCACAUACGGGCUGCUUCCAGGUGGUCAUCACUGAUAACCAAUAUCGCAUUGGUGCUUUGGUUCGGAUUAGGAGUCUUCAUGAUGUUCUGCCAUUGUUUGCCUAGAUAGUUGGUGUGCCAUGAAAGUAGGCCUAUUUUAUUUUUUCCCGCUAUUGUCUUCUAACUGACAGAUAUGUUACGUUGGUAGACGAUACAUCCAAGGUAUGUUUCCUAAAUGAAGUCAAAAUUUGAAUUUAUCUCCUGAUCUUGAGAUAUGAAGCAAUUAUUUGUGUCAGGAAAAGAGAGGGUCUAAUUCAACUGUGAUGACUUUUGCAAUUUGAACAGUGUAUUACUAUUUCUCAUUGUAAGCCGAAUUAGUUUAUUACUAUCUGAAAAAUGUCCUCGCACAAUUCAACAUGAAAUCUAGGAGGCUAAAUUUUGUAACACAUUUAUAAUAGCGAUAAUCUUGGAUUUAAAGUGUCUUGUGGUAACUGGUGAAA